GGGCCGUUAGCUCAGUUGGUAGAGCAUCUGACUUUUAAUCAGGUGGUCGGGCGUUCGAGCCGCCCACGGCCCACCA
rnacentral:tRNA from 1 species